rnacentral:rRNA from 1 species
GACGCUCUCCCCAAGGACACAAGCCAUGCAUGCCCGCGCACCCGGGAGGCGGCGGUACGGCUCAGGACAACGGUUGCACCCCCCGCUGCGGGUCCCUGCUAGCCGGACCAACCCCUGCCAACCCGGCGCCAAGACGUGCGCGCAAGGGCGGGCKCCCGCGGGCGAGCAGCGUGACGCAG